rnacentral:lncRNA from 1 species
AAAAUUUCACUUUGUCAACCAAUUGGAGGACAAUUUUGCUUGGAUCCUCAGUGGAGGACACUGGGAGGAGAGCUGACUCUUUAUCCGUUUUGGACAGUUGAACACCUCAAACGCACCACAAGAAGCAGUCUUGGCCAAACACACCACAUUGGCAAGCUGGUCAAGCCCCUUCUGAGACAGAAAGGGUGGAGCAUAAGGAUGGAGUCUGGCCCAAAGUCUCUGCUAGGAAGGGACCACAUGUGUUCUCUGUCAGGUGAGCACUUUGGCUUGAGGUUUGGUGAGUUGCAGUGUUGUGUACCUAAGGCCCUCCCCAUUAACCUGCCUCCUAGCAAAUUUAAAACCACUAUAACACAGACACAUGGGCAAAAGGAAAUUAACUAAGACCCUGCACUGACGUUCUCUUUGGAGCUCAUACCACCCUCUAAGAAGGGCUACACAUCCCCCUGUGAGAGGGCAGACUCGGCUGUGGG